rnacentral:tRNA from 48 species
GGUGAGGUGUCCGAGUGGCUGAAGGAGCACGCCUGGAAAGUGUGUAAACGUUUAUAGCGUUUCGAGGGUUCGAAUCCCUCUCUCACCGCCA